rnacentral:tRNA from 1 species
AAAGAAUUAGUUUAUUCAACAAAACAUUUAUAUGUCAUAUAAAAAAUAAUAAAUUAUUUAUUAUUCUUUA